GCCCUGUCCAAUGCUGCUGUUGACACAGGAACAGAAAGAGGGAACCAGAGAAUAUUGUCCACGUGUGCGAUGUCAAUAAACAUCAGCUGUCCACCUCGGUCUACAUUGUCUGCCGGCAGUGCACCGUUUCACUUGGCAAGUGUGAAUAUGGGCCAAACGUUAGCCUUUGGUCACAGCGCAGAGCCACAAGCUCCAGCCCCUGCACCAACCCCUGCACCAAGAUACAAGAAGCCAUCAAUGCCAGCUGUGUCCAUGCAUCAUGAUGCUGCAGCAGUGCCAGCUACAGCAUUGCAUGCUCCUCGCACUUUUGAGUUUCAUGUGCCGGCAAGCACCAUCAGUACCUUGCCCACAUGGGGCAGGGGGGGUUGUUUUCAGGAUGGCUUCCUUCCGGCUGUGCCUCCAUAUUCUCCGACCACUGCUUUCGCUGCUCCAAGUAAAGCGGCUGCAUCCUGCCAGGCUGGUUGUGCACCUCAGCCAGCAGCCCAGGAAACACCAGCAGCAUUAACCUCUGCUCCAGAAGAACAGGCACUGUCCACUGCUGUUGACACAGGAACAGAAAGAGGGAACCAGAGAUUAUUGUCCGCGCAUGCAAUGUCAUUAGACAUCAACCAUCUGCCUCCGUCGACACUCUCUGCCAGCAGUGGACCAUUUCAC
rnacentral:lncRNA from 1 species